CCCCCACUCGGGGUCCUUCCCCUCUCGAUCCUUCUUUGGGGCCGUCCACCGAAGUGCCCGACGCUCCUGACAGGACAGCAGGCGGCGAUAUUUCCUCGGUUUGUGUUCUCCGCCUACGGGGGCAACGUAUUAUGUCCCGACGUUCAGGAGGAUUCUAACGGGGACAGACACUGUCCUUCCUCAAGCACCGAAGCGGGGUUUCUGGCACCGGCGCCGCCACUAGACGCCUCUGGGCGGAGCCCAGACUGGACGUGGGGGGGUCCUCGCGAGCGGCGCGCUCCCUAAAGUGGGACGCGAGCGCGAGCCCCGCCGCGUUCGUUGAGGAGAAAGUCGGAAUCGGGUCCCCCGCCAGUGAUGGGAACAAAGCCCUUAAAGCUGUCCCAGGAAACAGCCCCGAGCAAAGAGCAAGCAGAGCAAACAGCGCUCUGACAGUUAAGAGAAACAAGAUAUGAGAUUACCAGAUGGGACUGUUGACUAAGCUUAAGCCCUGUCAUGAAACAUGUUAUUAACGAGCCCAGUUCCCCUUUAAAAUUCCUUUAUUCCCCUCUUCCCCCCUCCGUGUGUAACCCCUCCCGAAGUGUGGUUUUUGCCUAUAUAUACUUGUAAGACUUUCUGCUCGGGGCUCGACUCCUCUGCUCCUGCGUGAGUUACGAGUUGAGCCCCAGCGCGCUGGAAUAAAGCCUCUUGCUGUUUGCAUCAA